GAGGGUUUAGCUCAGUGGUAGAGCAAGUGCUUAGCAUGCAUCAAGGUUCUGGGUUCAAUCCCAAGUCCCUCC
rnacentral:tRNA from 1 species